GCAAGGGAGCCUUUUUAAAGGCUCCGGAACGGCAGCGGGGGGAGAAGCGGUGCUGAGAGCCGCUACCCAGCUUGUGAAGCGAAGCCGCAUCGCCAUAGCCGGAGAGCGCCGAUUCCUUCCUGAAAAUUGGAUUACAAAGCAAAACUCGUGAGUAAGACUGAGACCUAAUUGGGAUUUACAACUAUCUUUUUGAAAUUUGGCUGAAAACGGGAUUGGUUUAAAGUAAGGAAGUCAGCCUUUCCCGGACUGCAUAAGGAUAAAGCAAAGAAGGAUCAAAAGCUGUAACCAUUGAGAGAUCGCAAAGAGUUAAGAGAACCAGACAUAAACUGUGAACUUCCCCCCUUUUGGUAGGCAGGAGCAAAAGGGGGAGGAAAUUGUGAUUAGAACCUGCCAGAAAAGGACUUUAAAAACUUUUCACCACUGUGUCAAACACCCCUGAAACGGACUGCCGGGGCAAAGGAACCUGGAGAGAUACAACUGUCAGUGAGCUGUCACUUGGAUUGUUACAUUGUCUUAAACUACUCAGCUCAGGAGAGAUACUAAAUUACAGGUUUGUUGAACUCUGAAAAUAUAAGAACUGUUACAAUUGACUACUGGGAAACCUCAGGGGAAUUUUUGGCUGUAAGACAUUUUGUUUAGUUUUGGAAACUUUCUUCCCUAGAGGGCACUUUGAGAAUUGUUGCAAAUUGGAUUGUAACUACUAAGGCAGUGGAAAUUUCCCUUGAAAAACAACUAACAGCUGUGAGAGUGACCUUGGCUAGGCAUGAGUGGUGCACCAGAAGAGACAACAACCAGGUCUGGGAGACAAUACAAAGUAAAAUCUUCACAGCGAAGAGUUUCAGUCCCAGGCAUCCCAGUGGCACCAGCUGCAACUGGUCAGACAAGAACAAUAAUGUCAUCAGAUCCUGUAACACAAGCUUUGGUUAAAAUAAAUGAGUCUUUGGAAUCUUUGACAAAGCAGGGGGUGGAAAAUAGCAGAAAAUUGACAGAACUCUCAAUUAAACUUGAUCAGAAUACACAAAGUGUGAAUGAAUUAGGGAAAAGGGUGACAUCUAAUACAGAAUCUAUUAAUAAAAUAUUAGAGGACUCUGCCAAUAUACGUAAAAUCGCAGAAGAAGCCAAAGUCUCUGCUGAUGAAGCUAAAGUCUCGGCGGAUGCUACACAGGAAAAAUUGCACCAGUUUGCAAAAAGUUAGAAGAUCACACAUUGGCCCUGUCUAUGCUUGAAUUGCAGAGAAGAGACAGAAAUUUAAGACUACGAGCGGUGCCUGAAAGCGAAGGAGACAACUUGGCGAACUUCCUUUCCAAAGAAUUUGCGGAUUUUUGGCAACAGGAGUUAGAGAAAGAAGAAAUUAAAAUAGUCACUGCCUUUAGACUGGGAAGAGCACAAGGUAGGAAGAAGCCAAGGGAUUGCCUAAUAACAUUAGGAUCAAGAGAGGAGAGAGAUAAAAUAUUGAGCCUGCAUUUUCAAAGAACACUCGAGAUUGAAGAUUCUUUUGUGGAGAUUUUUAAAGAUAUUCCAAAGGAAAUUCUAGACGCAAGAACAAACUAUAAAGAACUGGUCGGAUUGCUGAAGAAGAACGAAGUACCUUUCAGGUGGGAAUUCCCGCAAGGCCUAUCUUUUAAAUUUAAAGGUAGGAAAAUAAGGAUAAGAUCAGUAGAAGAUCGAGAUCAAUUUCUAAAUCACUAUAGGGAAGACCUUCUGAAAGGAACAGUCGGAGAGGAAAUAACACCAGAAUCGAAAGACGCAACAGACAUUUUAAACUUGACGUUUGGACUGAAAUCACCAACAGAAGAAGAACAACUACUCGGAGCAACAGGAGGCAAAUAGCUUCAGGAUGGCCUUGCAACUUCUAAGUUGGAAUUGUAACGGACUUAACCUUCCGCGAAAGAGGAAAAAUAUAUUUCAUUUAUUGAAAAAGAGCAGUUGGACUUAAUUUGUUUACAGGAAACUCAUAUAACAAGAUUGCAUAGGAAACUACUCGUCAAUAAGAGAUUAGGCCAAGAAUUUAUUUCAUCGGAUAAAGUUAAGAAAAGAGGAGUGGUAAUCUAUGCAAAAGAAAAACUUUCCCCAAAGUUUAUAUUUAAAGAUGAACAAGGAAGGUAUUUGGCAAUUGAAGUGCAAAUUCAAGGUGAAAAAUUUUUGAUACUAGGGAUUUAUGCACCUAAUGAAGGGAAGUCAGAAUUUAAGAAGUUGCAUGAGACAUUGUUGGACUAUUUGGAUUACAAAUUAAUCAUGAUGGGAGACAUGAAUGGAGUGGUAUCUACAAAUAUGGACAAAGCACAAAGACAGGUAAUCACCAGAGAUGGGAGACUACCAAAGACUUUCUUUGAAAUAACUGAAAAUAUGGACUUGAUUGAUAUUUGGAGAACAAGGAAUCCUCUCGAGAGAGAGGGAACCUUUUCUCUGAAGCAAUGAUGACCUGGACCAGAAUCGAUCAAAUUUGGAUUACUAGUGGGUUGGCUCCAAAGAUUAAAAAAGUGGAAAUCUGCCCAAAGACUUGCUCCGACCAUAACGCCGUGAAGAUGGAAAUGAAACUUACAACAACUGGUCAAUUCAGAUGGAGGAUGAAUGACACCCUGUUUCGAGAUGAGGAGAUCCACAGAAAGGCCCAAAAAACUUUAAAGGACUAUUUUGAAAUAAAUCUAAAAACUGAUGUAGAAAAAAGAGUGAUCUGGGACGCAAGUAAAGCAGUGAUGCGAGGAUUUCUAAUUCAACAAAAUUCAGUAAAAAAGAGAAAGCAAAAUGAGAAGAAGGAUAAGAUCUUGGAAAAGAUAAAAGAAGGAGAGAAGAAAUUGAGAUCAAAACCAAAGUCCCAGGAGAUUUUGAGAGAGAUUAAGUUAUAUCAGACACAAUACAUGGAAUUGAUGAAUCAAGAGAUUGAAUGGAAGAUAAAACAAAUGAGACAAAAGACAUUUGAAUCUGCAGAUAAAUGUGGUAAACUUCUGGCUUGGCAAUUGAAGAAAAGACAGAAACUAAACACAGUUACAAGCCUAGAAGUGGAUGGAAAGAAUAUAUCUAAACCUAACGAGAUAAGAAAUUGUUUUUGAGUUAUUUUAAAAACUAUAUUCACAAGGACCACAGAAGGAGGAGGAUAUAGAAGAAUUUCUUAAAAAGUAUGGACUACAAAAAAUCUCUCACCAAAGCAAGGUGGAUCUAAAUCAGAGAAUAACAGAUCAAGAGAUAGAGGGUGCCAUUCAAAACAUGCAAUUGGGCAAAUCUCCAGGACCAGAUGGACUGACUUCCAGAUAUUAUAAGGCUUUGAAGGAGUGGUUGGUACAGCCAUUAAAGGAAGUCUGCAAUGAGAUCUUAGAGGGAAAAAGGGCACCAGAAUCGUGGAAAGAAGCGUACAUUACACUCAUACCAAAGACAGAGACUGAAAAGAAUCAACUUAAGAACUACCGCCCAAUAUCAUUACUUAAUGUGGAUUACAAAAUUUUUGCAGACAUUUUGGCAAAAAGAUUGAAAAGAGUGUUGAUGGAGAAGAUUCAUAAGGACCAAGCAGGCUUUCUCCCAAAAGGCAUUUAUCAGACAAUGUGAGGAACAUAAUAGACAUUUUGGAAUUAUUAGAGGUGAAUAUAAACACUAAAGCAGUUCUGAUCUUUGUAGACGCGGAGAAAGCCUUUGACAAUAUUUCUUGGAGUUUUAUGAAAAAGAAUCUUCAUGGGAUGGGGGUAGGCCAAGGAUUCGAGAAUGGUAUGGGUGCCAUAUACACUGAACAAAAAGCUAAAUUGAUUGUAAAUAAUGUGAUAACUGAAGAAUUUAAAAUAGAAAAAGGGACACGACAGGGGUGCCCUAUCUCCCCAUUACUUUUUAUUUCUGUUCUGGAGGUGUUGCUAAAUAUGAUUAGAGAUGACCAGCAGGUUAAAGGUGUACAGGUCGGAGCUAAACAUUACAAGUUAAGGGCCUUUGCAGAUGAUUUAGUACUUACUUUACAAGAGCCAGACACUAGUACAAAAAGGGUGUUGGAGCUAAUCCAAGAAUUUGGCCAGGUAGCUGGAUUUAAAUUGAAUAAACAAAAGACUAAAGUCUUGGAAAAAAAUUUAACAGUCAUGGAAAGGGAGAAGUUUCAGAAUGAAACAGGUUUGACAGUGGUAAAGAAGGUGAAAUACCUAGGGGUCUAUUUGACAUCUAAAAAUUUGAACCUGUAUAAAGACAAUUAUGAAAAAUGUUGGUCGGAAAUUAAAAAAGAUCUAGAAAUAUGGUCAAAUUUGAAAUUGUCAAUGUUAGGCCGAAUUGCAGUUAUUAAGAUGAAUGUAUUGCCCAGAAUGUUAUUCUUGUUCCAAACAUUACAAAUUCUAGACAAGAUAGACUGUUUUAAGAGGUGGCAGAAGGAUAUUUCGAAAUUUGUCGGGCAGGGCAAAAACCCAGAAUAAAAUUUAAAAUACUGACGGAUGCAAAAGAAAGAGGGGGUUUGCCCUGCCAGACUUAAAACUGUAUUAUGAAGCAGCAACUUUUUGCUGGCUGAAAGAAUGGAUGCUCCUCGAGAAUACAGACAUCUUGGACUUAGAAGGUUUUAACAAUACAUUUGGUUGGCAUGCAUAUUUAUGGUAUGAUAAAAUCAAGGUGCAUAGGGCCUUUAAAAAUCAUAUUGUCAGGAAAGCAUUAUAUAAUGUUUGGAUAAGAUAUAAAGAUUUGGUGGAAAGUAAGACUCCUAGAUGGUUGUCACCUUUGGAAGCCACGGCGUUGAAAAAGCUUAAUAUGGAAGCCGAAUGGCUAAAGUAUCGGGAAAUUUUGGAACAAGAUGGAGAUAAAUUAAAGCUACAGAGCUAUGAGAAAUUGAAACCCAAAGUACGAGAUUGGCUCCAUUAUUAUCAAAUAAUGGAGGUGUAUAAACAAGACAGGAAAAUUGGCUUCCAGGUGGAGAAAUCAAAAUUAGAAACUGAACUGUUAGAACCCAAUACUAAGAACUUGUCAAGAAUGUAUAAUUUGCUGCUGAAAUGGAAUACACAAGAUGAAACAGUUAAAUCAGCUAUGAUUAAGUGGGCACAGGACAUUGGUCAUAACAUUAUGUUUGCUGACUGGGAAUGGUUGUGGAACACCGGUAUAAAAUUUACGGCAUGUAAUGCCAUAAAGGAAAAUAUUAUGAAAAUGAUCUAUAGGUGGUACAUGACUCCAGUCAAGCUAGCAAAAAUUUAUCAUUUGCCUGAUAAUAAGUGUUGGAAGUGUAAAGAAACUGAAGGUACUUUUUAUCACCUUUGGUGGACGUGCCCAAAGAUUAAGGCUUUCUGGGAAAUGAUAUAUAAUGAAUUAAAAAAGGUACUUAAAUGUACUUUCCUGAAGAAACCAGAGGCCUUUCUCUUGGGCAUUGCCGGCCAAUUGGUAUCAAAGAAAGACAGAACUUUUUUUAUGUAUGCUACGACAGCAGCAAGAAUACUCAUCGCAAAGUAUUGGAAGACAGAAGAACUACCCACCUUGGAAGAGUGGCAGAUGAAGGUUAUAGACUAUAUGACAUUGGCGGAGAUGACUGGCAGAAUCCGUGAGCAGGGGAAAGAGACGGUGGAAGAAGAUUGGAAGAAAUUUAAAAUCUAUCUAAAGAACUAUCAUAAAAUUGAGGAAUGUUAAAAUGUCGAGGUUUGGAGAAAGAAAAGGAGAUUACAGCGACAUAAGAUUAAGUUGAAGAAAAAAAAAAUAAGAAAAAUAUAUUUGAUAAAAUUAUUUAGAAUUUGCUGAAAUAAUUUUGGGAAUUGGGAUGUAGGAAGGGGAGGUUUGGGGGAGUCCGAGAAGAGAGGGUUAUGAAAAAAAAGGUUAUGAAAUUAUACAUGUUUGUAUGUCUUUUUAUUUGUUUGUAUUGUAUAAAACUUGUUUGU
rnacentral:lncRNA from 1 species